rnacentral:rRNA from 1 species
AACGAACGCUGGCGGCAUGCCUAACACAUGCAAGUCGAACGAGAUCUUCGGGUCUAGUGGCGCACGGGUGCGUAACGCGUGGGAAUCUGCCCUUUGGUUCGGAAUAACAGUUGGAAACGACUGCUAAUACCGGAUGAUGACGAAAGUCCAAAGAUUUAUCGCCAGAGGAUGAGCCCGCGUAGGAUUAGCUAGUUGGUGUGGUAAAGGCGCACCAAGGCGUCGAUCCUUAGCUGGUCUGAGAGGAUGAUCAGCCACACUGGGACUGAGACACGGCCCAGACUCCUACGGGAGGCAGCAGUGGGGAAUAUUGGACAAUGGGCGAAAGCCUGAUCCAGCAGUGCCGCGUGAGUGAUGAAGGCCUUAGGGUUGUAAAGCUCUUUUACCCGGGAUGAUAAUGACAGUACCGGGAGAAUAAGCUCCGGCUAACUCCGUGCCAGCAGCCGCCGUAA